rnacentral:rRNA from 1 species
AACGAACGCUGGCGGCAUGCCUAACACAUGCAAGUCGAACGAGACCUUGGGGUCUAGUGGCGCACGGGUGCGUAACGCGUGGGAACCUUCCUUUAGGUUCGGAAUAACUCAGAGAAAUUUGAGCUAAUACCGGAUGAUGUCUUCGGACCAAAGAUUUAUCGCCUUUGGAUGGGCCCGCGUUGGAUUAGCUAGUUGGUGGGGUAAAGGCCUACAAAGGCGACGAUCCAUAACUGGUCUGAGAGGAAGAGCAGACACACUGGGACUGGGACACGGCCCAGACUCUUACGGGAGGCAGCAGUGGGGAAUAUUGGAAAAUGGGCGAAGGCCUGAUCCAGCAAUGCCGCGAGAGUGAUGAAGGCCUUAGGGUAGUAAAGCUCUUUUACCCGAGAUGAUAAUGACAGUAUCGGGAGAAUAAGCUCCGGCUAACUCCGUG